AACACGGUAAGGCUUGGUCAGCAGGUCUAGGUGUGGCAGCCUGUUUCCCAACUGCAGAUCAGCUUAGGGGAAGCAGAAAUUUCUCUGCACUGAGUCAGGACCAAAAGCAGAACAUCACAGCUACCAAGUGCAGCCGAUCAGACGUGCCUAGGAAAGCGAUGAUGCCCAUCGAUUGGUGUGAACUUUCUAGAAACGUCUAGGAAACAGGAUGUUUGCGCUUGGGAUUUACCCACCAUAUUGUGAGGAAGCCUAUACUACAUGGAGAGGCCAUGUGAUGUUCCAGCCAACAGUACCGUGUCAGAUGCCAGCUGCCAGCCAGCAUCAACUCCAGACAGGUGUCUGUACUCCUCCCUGACCAUGUGCUUCAGGAGACGCCAAUCCCAGCCCCAUUCCUAGACCACAGUGGCGAAUCAGUUUGAUCUAAGCCAAUCAUGUUGAUGCUAUUCUAGUUAGCUGUGAUUGGCUGAGGAAGAUGUGGGUUGAUGAAGAUAAUCCCCCCACUCUCCACAGCCACUGAGAAGAUUAGGUCCUUCUUUGGAUUUGAAUGUAUUUUUCUAUUAAUAUCUAUAAAUGUUUUCAAUCUCCAUAACACUAUUAUACUUUUGUUAGCUCAUGUCAAACUUGUAUAAAACUAAUACCCCUGGAUCAAUUUUACAUGAAGGGUUAUUAAACCAGGUUAACUGUCUUCUGUAGCACUGUCUGUGAUUUUCUGAACAAAAUUCAGGGUUGAUAAUCUUUCUCCAACUUCAAAAUAUAGUACAAGAAGUGAAAUUUAUUUCUGUACACCUGUUUGGUAACUGUUGGAAUUUCAGUUCCAGAAAAACAGAAUUGUGUGGAUUGUGAGUCACUUCUGCUGGGGAUAAUUAGAAAGAGAGGAAAUUGGGAGUUGGGAGUGAAAAGGGGAGAUCAAGCAGAUGGCAGAGGAAGGAUGGAGAUUUUCACAGUGAAUCCUUGGGGAGACAAAGGAAGAUAAAGCACAGUAAACUCAUAAGGGUAUUCAGGUGACAUCUGUGAGGAGGAGUCGAGGAGCCGGGAGUCGAGAUAUGAGAGAGAGGAUUUGAUAGACAUGUGAUCUGGGGAGGGGACAGAAGCAUCUUCUGAGUCAUGCAAUCAAGAAGGCAUUGAUCAUUUG
rnacentral:lncRNA from 10 species